rnacentral:rRNA from 1 species
ACCGGAUCCCGUCUGAUCUGCGCAGUUAACCAGAGUGCCGCCUAGUUAGUACCACGGUGGGGGACCACGCGGGAAUCCUGGGUGCUGUGGUUUUUGCU